AGCACUUAUACCGUGAAACUGCGAAUGGCUCAUUAAAUCAGUUAUCGUUUAUUUGAUAGUACCUUACUACUUGGAUAACCGUGGUAAUUCUAGAGCUAAUACAUGCUGAAAACCCCGACUUCGGGAGGGGUGUAUUUAUUAGAUAAAAAACCAAUGCCCUUCGGGGCUCCUUGGUGAUUCAUGAUAACUUCUCAGAUCGCAUGGCCUUGCGCCGGCGACGGUUCAUUCAAAUUUCUGCCCUAUCAACUUUCGAUGGUAAGGUAUUGGCUUACCAUGGUUUCAACGGGUAACGGGGAAUUAGGGUUCGAUUCCGGAGAGGGGGCCUGAGAAACGGCUACCACAUCCAAGGAAGGCAGCAGGCGCGCAAAUUACCCAAUCCCGACACGGGGAGGUAGUGACAAUAAAUACUGAUACAGGGCUCUUUUGGGUCUUGUAAUUGGAAUGAGUACAAUUUAAACCUCUUAACGAGGAACAAUUGGAGGGCAAGUCUGGUGCCAGCAGCCGCGGUAAUUCCAGCUCCAAUAGCGUAUAUUAAAGUUGUUGCAGUUAAAAAGCUCGUAGUUGAACCUUUGGCCUGGCUGGCAGGUCCGCCUCACCGCGUGUACUUGUCCGGCCGGGCCUUUUCUUCUGGAGAACCGCAUGCCCUUCACUGGGUGUGUUGGGGACCAGGACUUUUACUUUGAAAAAAUUAGAGUGUUCAAAGCAGGCCUUUGCUCGAAUACGUUAGCAUGGAAUAAUAGAAUAGGACGUGCGGUCCUAUUUUGUUGGUUUCUAGGACCGCCGUAAUGAUUAAUAGGGACAGUCGGGGGCAUCAGUAUUCAAUUGUCAGAGGUGAAAUUCUUGGAUUUAUUGAAGACUAACUACUGGGAAAGCAUUUGCCAAGGAUGUUUUCAUUAAUCAGUGAACGAAAGUUAGGGGAUCGAAGACGAUCAGAUACCGUCGUAGUCUUAACCAUAAACUAUGCCGACUAGGGAUCGGGCGGUGUUUCUAUUUUGACCCGCUCGGCACCUUACGAGAAAUCAAAGUGUUUGGGUUCC
rnacentral:rRNA from 1 species